rnacentral:rRNA from 1 species
GACGAACGCUGGCGGCGUGCCUAAUACAUGCAAGUAGAACGCUGAAGAGAGGAGCUUGCUCUUCUUGGAUGAGUUGCGAACGGGUGAGUAACGCGUAGGUAACCUGCCUGGUAGCGGGGGAUAACUAUUGGAAACGAUAGCUAAUACCGCAUAAAAUGGAUUAUCGCAUGAUAAUCCAUUGAAAGGUGCAAAUGCAUCACUACCAGAUGGACCUGCGUUGUAUUAGCUAGUUGGUGGGGUAACGGCUCACCAAGGCGACGAUACAUAGCCGACCUGAGAGGGUGAUCCGCCCAAAUGGGAAUGGGACACGGCCCAGACUCCCACGGGAGGCAGCCGUAGGGGAACUUCGGGAAUGGACGGAAGUCUGAACGAGCAACGCCGCGUGAGGGAAGAAGGGUUUCGGAUCGUAAAGCUCUGUUGUAAGAGAAGAACGAGUGUGAGAGUGGAAAGUUCACACUGUGACGGUAUCUUACCAGAAAGGGACGGCUAACUACGUG